UACGGAGGGGGCUAGCGUUGUUCGGAAUUACUGGGCGUAAAGCGCACGUAGGCGGCUUUGCAAGUUAGAGGUGAAAGCCCGGGGCUCAACCCCGGAAUGGCCUUUAAAACUGCAUCGCUAGAAUUGUGGAGAGGUAAGUGGAAUUCCGAGUGUAGAGGUGAAAUUCGUAGAUAUUCGGAAGAACACCAGUGGCGAAGGCGGCUCACUGGCCCGAUACUGACGCUGAGGCACGAAAGCGUGGGGAGCGAACAGG
rnacentral:rRNA from 1 species